CCAUGAGCUAUGGCGUAGAUCACAGACACAGCUCAGAUCUGGCAUUGCUGUGGCUGUGGUGUAGGCCAGCAGCUUUGCUC
ensembl:miRNA MIR4331-1 microRNA mir-4331-1